rnacentral:lncRNA from 1 species
AAUGGAGAGAGAUUAUUCUCUAAAAGUUUCAGUUCACUCCAUUAUUGUCACUUGGUUGACCUUCCUCUACUCCUUUUUGGCAGGGUAAGGCCUCACUUCCUCUAUUUAACUGUAAGUCUCCACCUCCACUGUUAGGCGGAAUUACAAAUAUAAGGUUCUAGUUCUUAACGUAGCGAUGCUUGAAGAGGAAAAUCUUUAGUUGCAACUUUUCUUUUCUUGAUUAUUUUUUGGUAUUAUGCAGUUCUUUUGCUAGUAUAUACACAAGUUUUCAAAUUUUUAAAUUUAGUUAUACUCUCAAUUUCCAUCUAAUAAUAAUAAAAAAGAGUGUUUAGAUCAUUAACAGUGAGAUCUCUUAGCAUUCUCAAUAUUAUGACUUAAAGGGGAUUCGAACCUCUAUGCAUUCAUUCUGUUUCGAAGAGUAACUAUAACAAAUUCAGCGUUGAUUGUCUCAGUGUUGAUUUUAUGUUGCUUGUGAUGUAUGACAAAUGGUUCUUCAAAAGGUAAACUGCUUGUCUUGUUGUCAGUGUUGGAUCAUGAUUUAGAGAUUGAACAUCGGAGAACAACACAUUUGUGCACCUCUUUAUUUUCUUUAGGCUGGCCGUUGGAUGGUAGCUCGUGGAGUGACUCUCAAAGAUGCGAUUGGGAUGUGAAAGAGUAUACAGCCUUGGACUUUUGCGGGUUGUUGGGUCCAUAUGCUUAUCUUUUCGUGGUUUUUGAUGUGUCCUGCUUCAGCUUUUUGUAUGUUAUUUCUAUUUGUAUUGUGCUUGUUGCCUUUGCAUCUCGACGCUCUUUUACCUCGACGGUGCUUCUACCUAUAGGUUAGUGUUUUUUUGUGGGCUGGGGCUCGAGUUUUUGUUGGUCUGAGCUAGCUGCUAGUGGGUUCUUUCAAGACCAUGAAUAUUAUGUAUAUGGACCUUUGAAUUCUUUGUCUGUAAUGGGCUUAGACUUUUAGGUCAACAAAAUUAUCUUUGGAAUUUUUUUUAAAAAAAAAAAGGUUGGAGCAGGAAAUGAUGGGUAGAUCUAAAAAUGGCAGGGAUUAUAUACUGACAAAAGGCAAAAUUAACCAGCAAUCUGUCAAAUCCAUUCCUAUAUUACAAUGUAGUUGUUUAUUGAUUAAUCAUUCGUCUGAUAACAAUGUAGGAGAUCAUACACUUCAAAAUCCCUUUUUUUAUAAACAAAAUUUCAAAGUGAUAAAAAAAAAAAAAGCAGUGUUCUCAGCUAAUGAGACGUUGCCAAACCAAAGAGAUCACAAUCUCAGGUUAAACCAAAAUCAUCAUCAACCCAUUUUAAAGCAUCAUUUCAAUUUCCAGUUCCACAGAUAGAG